rnacentral:rRNA from 1 species
CUAGUGGCGGACGGGUGAGUAACGCGUGGGUAACCUGCCUUAUACAGGGGGAUAACAGUCAGAAAUGGCUGCUAAUACCGCAUAAGCGCACAGGACCGCAUGGUUCGGUGUGAAAAACUCCGGUGGUAUAAGAUGGACCCGCGUUGGAUUAGCUAGUUGGCAGGGUAACGGCCUACCAAGGCGACGAUCCAUAGCCGGCCUGAGAGGGUGAACGGCCACAUUGGGACUGAGACACGGCCCAGACUCC